rnacentral:rRNA from 1 species
UGGGGAAUAUUGCACAAUGGGGGAAACCCUGAUGCAGCGACGCCGCGUGAACGAAGAAGGUAUUCGUAUCGUAACGUUCUGUCCUAUGGGAAGUUAAUGACAGUACCAUAGAAGAAAGCUCCGGCUAAAUACGUGCCAGCAGCCGCGGUAAUACGUAUGGAGCGAGCGUUGUCCGGAAUUAUUUGGCGUAAAGGGUACGCAGGCGGUUUAAUAAGUCGAAUGUUAAAGAUCGGGGCUCAACCCCGCAAAGCAUUGGAAACUGAUAAACUUGAGUAGUGGAGAGGAAAGUGGAAUUCCUAGUGUAGUGGUGAAAUACGUAGAUAUUAGGAGGAAUACCAGUAGCGAAGGCGACUUUCUGGACACAAACUGACGCUGAGGUACGAAAGCGUGGGGAGCAAACAGG